rnacentral:rRNA from 1 species
AGAGUUUGAUCCUGGCUCAGGAUGAACGCUGGCGGCGUGCCUAAUACAUGCAAGUCGAGCGAACGGACGAGAAGCUUGCUUCUCUGAUGUUAGCGGCGGACGGGUGAGUAACACGUGGAUAACCUACCUAUAAGACUGGGAUAACUUCGGGAAACCGGAGCUAAUACCGGAUAAUAUUUUGAACCGCAUGGUUCAAAAGUGAAAGACGGUCUUGCUGUCACUUAUAGAUGGAUCCGCGCUGCAUUAGCUAGUUGGUAAGGUAACGGCUUACCAAGGCAACGAUGCAUAGCCGACCU